GUCUGCAAUUACAAACGAACGACGCGGUUUUUAAAAACAAAAGCGGAGGUGCGGGAAAUCCUACAAGGUCACAGGGGCGCAGUUUCGAUCGUGUUGAAUGGCUUAGACAACGGCUUUUCAGAAGGAAGGGAUUAGAAACUGUUCGAUCUGAAGCGGUAUUCAGAGUGUUAAAGAAUUCUUAGAUGCCGCGAUCGUUAGAAAAGCCCGAUUUUCAAAGGGAAAGAAAAAACAGUGGAUUUUAUUUUUAGCAUGGAACCCCCAAAAACACAGGAACCCCUUGCCGUGCCAUUGUUGCCACAAUGCCGUGACUCGGAUUCGAACCGAGGUUGCUGCGGCCACAACGCAGAGUACUAACCACUAUACGAUCACGGCGAGCUACCAGGGACCUGUAAUAUUCCUCUUCUGAAUAUUCUCUUCAAUACUCAUAGGCCUUCCUACUUCCUGCGUCACUAAAUGACCCAUCUGUUGGGCGGGACUCCAACCUAGCAUAGCGUGUGAUGCGCAGGCGCAUUGCACUCUCGCAGCUAACUAGGCUUCACUUUGGUUCCUUAGUCUGGGGCAAAGUAGUCGCUUGCGAGAGGUGUUAGGGGUUGGCCGGAGACCUCCUGAGUACACGGGGACCCGAGGUGACUGUCUUGGGGAAGCCGGUUUCCGGUGCCUGGACCCUUGAAGUGGACUCUGUAGAGUUCUCGGGCCUGCAGGGGCGUUCCCCAUUGCGUCUCCUGGCUGCAGAUCCUCCGCCAUCCCUAGCAGCGACCCAUAGGGACCUUUGCGUAGAGUGCGGAUGCCCUCUGUACUGAGUUAGCUGUAUGGAGAGAACUCGAAUGCCUGUCAGCUUCGGCUUUCCGCCCCCACAACCUCUCUCUCUAGCAGCCUCUCCCUCUCUUGGAUGGCUAAAUCCUCCCUCCAAGAUACUCCCGCUCGGCUUUGCGCCCACUUCUGACCCCACUGGGUGGCUAUUGAGACUCGGUCCGGUUUCCUUCUUGUCCCUCAGCGCUCCCGCCCACAUGGCGUCUAGCCUGUGACAGCUUCCAUAGAGGGGCAGUGAUAUUUCCUAAACCAAGAGUGUGCCAGUGGUUUCCGACAAGUGAAUUCAAAGUGGCCAGUACCCUCUUCCGCAGAACCACCGGAGAAAUCGCUAAACACCAACUAAAAUUUUCCCCCAUUUCACAGCCCAGACUGCAGGGCAUCCUCCUUCUUUUCCUGCUCACGUGGCUUAGAGUGUCGUUUCCUGCCCCCAACGACGGGCGCCCAUUCACUCAACAGGUUCUAGAGGAACGCUAGUUGUCAGCCAAGUCAGGCCCUAGAGCUGUGGGAGCGGGCAGGUCUUAAAAAUGACCCUGGGAGAACACUUAGAAGAGGAAUCGCGACAGUGCCUUUUCAUGACUGUGUUCAGCCUUUUGUACAUUAAAUUGCUGUUUGACAGAUUCCCAUUCUACUCAUAAAAGCUCCCUCUGCGGAGCCUCUUCGUUCCAUCACUUCGGCGUCUACUCCAGUGCUUUGAUGGAAAUCUGUGACGUCAAAGAUAUAUAGGAGACUAAGAAAAACACCAUAUUUUUAUGGAAACAGUCACAUAUGUUCGCUGCACUUUUCUGGCUGAUGCAAUUCCCUGUAUUGGGAUGCGAAUACCAUCCCCAUAACAAACUGGAAGCCUCUGAGCUCCCGCAGUCUAAUUUGGCCUACGCUGGUAUAAACCCUGUUCACAAUUGUCACUUGUUUGAGGUCCAUUUUUCUGGAAUGUUAGCUGUGUAUUAAAAUGGAAUAGAGGAACAAAACAGGUCCCUUGCCGUGCCAUUGUUGCCACAAUGCCGUGACUCGGAUUCGAACCGAGGUUGCUGCGGCCACAACGCAGAGUACUAACCACUAUACGAUCACGGCGAGCUACCGGGAACCUAAGGUCAGGACUUCUUACUUGAUCUCUUCUGUAUUGGAUGCCCCUCCCCUUUGACGUCACUGGGUUGAUGGCAUUUGUUUCCGCCUAUCAUCAACGGCGGGACUUACGAGUGUGCGCAGGCGCUUUGUUUUCCCUGGCUAGACCCGCGCGCAGGCGGAAAGCCCUACGCUCCGCAGCAGUGACAACAGCGGUAGACUGGGUCUCUUUUUUCCCCCUUUCAUUUCUCUUCUUUCUUUCUUUCUUCUUUCUUUUUUUUUCUUUUUGAGUCGGGGUCUCAUUCGGGCAGGCUGGCCUCUAACGUCCUGCGUUUUAGGUUCCCAGGCGCCACUACGUUGGGCUUGCCAGGCAGUUUCAUGACCGUCUUUUUUGAGGUGCGUUCCCAAGCCAAGCGGAAACUCGAGAAGAUUGGCCCAUUGUUAAGAUCUUUCUGCCCUCAGAAGAAAGAGGGCUCAAGGAGUUCCUGUGGGACUUGAUUCCUGUCCCAAGACCUGAGACUUUUUCCUGAGUCCGGAAGAUAGCAGGGAGUGGUUUCCAGACAUUAUUCUAGAAGGGAACAAUUGGAAGAAACUUUCUGUCACAGCGUAAGAAAAAGGCCUAUUGACAGGUAGCUGUGUGUCGGAUCUCCUACCCUGCCCUGCUGUGGAAUCAAUCAGAUGAGUGAAGACCCUGCUGGGAGUUGUGAAUUAAUUUCUUUGGAUGCUCAAGCCCUAAAUCAAGUCAUGAAAGGAACAGUCAUGUUGUCAAAUGUCAGGCUGCCUCAGGCUUGUGACCCUGCUGCCAUCACCUUUAAAGUGUUGGGAUGACAGAUCAGAAAGUUACCAGACAGGUUGCAAGAUGACAUGACACUACCAUUGCAUUAAGGGGAGGCCUCAAAGUCUUCUGUCCUUCUCAUCAUUCAUUAUCUGGAAAGCAGUUGCCUAAGUUCCUGGGGUAGAGCAUCCAAGGAGGCACCCAGAGGCUCCAGUGAUGGACUUGUGGCUGGUUAACCUGUGUGUUUUUCCUCUUACUGGGGCUGUCUGUUUAACAAAUGAUGGGCAGCUUCAUGGAAGGGGCUGUGACUUCUCUGGAGUUUAAGCAGGGGCAGGGAUGAAGUCAUGUGUAUGUGACUGGGCAGUAUCCCAGGACCACUCUCAGGGGGCCAUGUGCUUGGUUGAAUGCUCUCUUAAUUCUGUCUUAGAAUACUCUCUAUAUUCAGACACGAUGCCCUGUUUUUAUUGUAUAUACUUGGAUUUGUAGACUAUGUAACUACUCCUGGAGAGGAACUCGUCUUUUGUGGAAAUGAAUCUUAGCAUAUAAGAAUAAUAAGAAACAAACACCAAGGGGCUGGAGAGAUGGGUCAGCAGUUAAGAGCAUUUACUCUUCCAGAAGACCUGAGUGCAGUUUUCAGUGUCCACACUGGGAGUCUCACAACUGCCUGUAACUUUAGCUCUAGGGCAUCCAGUGACAAUUUCUGCUCUUCAAGAAUACAUGGGUGCAUGUAUAUCCUGACAUCUAUCCAUCCAUCCAUCCACCCACCCAAUUAUCCACUCAUACAUCCACCCAAUCACACACACACACACAAAAAAAAAAAUCCAAAAUCCCCCAACCAAACAACAAAAAGAAAAGAAAUAAGAACAACAAACCCUGGAGUGGAUAUACAGGUACUUUGCAUCAUUCUGAGACGUAGGUCUGUUAAAUGUGGGUUUGAGUUCCUAAGUAGCUUUGAAUUUAAACUGAAGUGAAAGCAGUCCACACUGAACACCGUGCUUAUUUCUUACAUGGACUAACUCAGUUAGACUCACAGAGAGUAUAAAAUGAACACAACAGUCUCCUUUCUUCUCUUUUCAGUCCUCUCACCUCCCCUAACCUUUUCACCUGUCUUUCCCUCCCUUCCUCUCCUCUU
rnacentral:tRNA from 1 species